rnacentral:rRNA from 1 species
UACGGAGGGAGCUAGCGUUAUUCGGAAUUACUGGGCGUAAAGCGCACGUAGGCGGCUUUGUAAGUUAGAGGUGAAAGCCUGGAGCUCAACUCCAGAAUUGCCUUUAAGACUGCAUCGCUUGAAUCCAGGAGAGGUGAGUGGAAUUCCGAGUGUAGAGGUGAAAUUCGUAGAUAUUCGCAAGAACACCAGUGGCGAAGGCGGCUCACUGGCCCGAGUACUGACGCUGAGGCACGAAAGCGUGGGGAGCAAACAGGG